CAGCGCUUUCCGCACCCCUUUUUAUAACGUGUGACGCGAGCGGAUUGGCUGAGCCGGGCCGGCCGCGGCCCCGCCCCCGGUGCCUGUGCCGCCGCCAUGUUGUGCGCCGGGGCGGGGGCGGCUCAGGGGCCGCCGUGAGGCGGGAGGGGGGAGAGCAGGGGCGGCGGGCGGUGCUGGUGCUGGCGCUGGGCAGGGGCGCUGUGCUGGGCAGAAGAGAAGGCGCGGGCUGCCGGGCUCGCUUCUCCGGAGGGAAUGACGGAUGCCGUGAUCCCCAGUGGCGGCGAGAUGGAGCGGGAGCAGCAUCAGCGGACGGAGAAGACCAGCGCGGGCGUCCUCGGAGUGGGGAGUAACAGAGCGGGAGCCGCUGAGGACACCACACAAAAUGGCGGACGCUCUGAGAGCAGUAGCGCUGGGGAGGCGCUGCUGGUGGCUUCUGCUGCUGCAGAGGACAAGGUCCCCACAAACCUCAGCAUCACUGGCAGCAGCCAGCGCAGGAGCAGCAUCUCGACGGCACAUGAACAGAAGCAGCCGCCCAGCGGUGUGCUCGGGGGGCCGCCCCCUCUCCCUAAGCCCCCAGAAGACCACCAGCCUGUUAGGAGGAACUUUCAGAUCCCCAGGAAGAAGAGAGAAAAGAAAGCACUCUUUCAGCCAGUAGCUUCAGGUUCUCGAGAAUUUGAAGAUAUUUUGAAGAUUCUGCAUUCAUCUUACUUGGAUGCAAGUUCAGUGUCCAAUUUCCAUUACGAGAGAGCCAGCUUAGUUCAUAGUGAACUGUUGGAAAACGAAUUCAAAGAAAAACGCAGGGAGCUGAAAUGUGAUGGUCGCCUGGAAAAGGAGCUCUCUGAGAGCUACGCCUUCCUCUUGGUGAAGCCGUGGAAGAUCCAAAGCAUAUGUGAAAAGGGGCUGGAGGUUGGCAACUCCGAAAUAUCAAUCCUCGGCAGCCCUUCCAUGGGUGUAUAUAUCUCCAAGUAUGCUGAUUUAUUGCAGUCUAAUCCUCUACAAGAAGGAGCAGCUGGAGAUGUGAUUGUUUUUAAAAUAAUAAAGGGAAAAAUGAAAAGCAUCUAUGACCACAUUGAUAUGAAAGCAAUGGAAUCAACUGUAAAGAGUGUGUUAGAUCCAACCCCAAAUCACGAGUGUCACAUUUCAAAGAAUGCACAUAAAAUAACCUCCUUGCUGUCUUAUCGAGCCUAUGACCGAACUCAGUACUAUUUUUAUGAAUAUGGCUUUGGUGAGAUAAGGCGAAGACCAAGACAUGUUUGUCCUCAUGCUGUUGUUUCAUUUACUUAUAAAGGUGGCAUGGCGCAAGGACCAAAAUUCUCGUCCUCAUCAAGUGGCCAGAAUUUUCUGUUACAACCCAGUCCUUCUGUCUGUCUUUUGCUUAGACCAAACACCUUCAACACAGAUAGAAGAACAGAGAAAUCUGCUGUUACAGUAUGGAGGGGACAGCUUUGGAAUAAGGGCAAACUUGUGUGCCAUGUUUCCUUAAAAUCAGCAACAUGUUCCUUCCCUCCAUGCAAGCUCCCUGAGAAGCUUGAGGUUGAAAAGGUUGCCAGCAUUGAUGAGCUGAAGAAAAAAAUUUCACCAGCUUUGUUCUUUAAAGAAACUUACCAAGUAGGAAAAGAAGUGUUGAAGGACGGCCUGUACUGUAGCCUGUAUGAAGCUGUGGAGAAGUCCCGUUCUGGGAGUCACUUGGAGGGUUUACUUCAAAAACUAGAGAAAGAGAAACUUGUUCUUGUGAAACCACUUCUGGACAGAGGAUUUCUUUUUCUCCUUUCUCCUUGGCAAAUGAUGUCCCCUUAUGACCAACAGGUUGGAUGGUCCCGUGUGUUUCAUGCAUUAUUUCUGUUUCCAGAGCCUAGAGGUGUAAUUAGCUCAGCAGCACGAAGAAGUGUUCCAUUUGGAAAUUCAGCUCCCAUGGUUUCACAUGAAAAAAAGGGAAUCAUUCCAGAAUUCACAAGGUUUAUUUCAUCUCUACAUUUUGCUUUAAUCCAGGCUCGUAAAGAGAUUAGUCCACCCUUCGAUCUUGUUGUUGUUGUUGAAAAGUAUAUAAAUGAGUAUUUGAAAAAGCUCUUUCGUGGCACUCUAAAGGGUAGAGAAUUUAAAUUACGUGAGUAUUCGACGCGGUUGGAUGACAAAAGAUAUGUUUAUCCUGCUCCAAGGUAUAAAGCUCAUAUUGAUGAAUACUUGCAAAACUAUAUCUUUCGUUUUGGGACGUAUCAGCUGCCUCUUUCUAGAGCUAAAGAACUGAUUGAGAGGAAUUUGAGACCUCAGCAGUUCAGUCCCAUCUCAGACUAUGAAGCCACAGAAGACUACUCAGAUAUUGCCAAGGCAAAAUGCAGGAAAAGAAUCCAUGCAAAAUAUGAAGCCACUGCUGCCAAGCAAAAGCUGCUUCCUUCUGGAGAUUAUGAUACUGAAAGACUCAAAGAACUUAUUAACUUAAUCCAGUGUAGGAAAAAAACUGCAGGUGGAGAUUCUGACUCUGAAGACCCCAAAAUUAGAAGUGGUCUGAAAAGAAAGCUGGAAAAAGAGUCUGAAAGUUUGCACAAAUACUUAAAAAGGAGUGAAUCUUCAGAGAAUAUUUGUCAGUAUGACGGGGGCAGAACCUCGGAUUCACUACACUCUGUUUUCUCAACUAAUUCUGGUCUGGGUGGACACGGUGCUGACUUCAGGCAGCAAGAUGGAUCCAAUUCUGCUGCUGCUGACCCACAUAGCCUCAUUAAAAUACUUUUGGAAACACUAGCUCCUGGAGGACGCUUGGAUUCCUCAUUGGCACAGUCUAUAAAUCAAGAUUUAGCAUUAAGCACUGAUGAAAUGGAAGAGGAUAUGAGACAAAAUUAUGAAUAUGAAUCCAUUCCAGCUCAGGAUCAUGAGCUUCCUAAUACUGCUCAGGCUGACAGUGUUAACUUCAAGGACCCUGAAAGCCUAGUGAUUCUGGAACCUGAUGUGCCAUGUCUGCCCUACCCUGUCAGUGGUGAUCUACGGCUUCCAGAUAACGAAGUAGGCUUUGAAGACACACUACAGUUACAAGAAGCAAGUAUUGGAAGCCUAAGUACCUUUGAAGACUGUAGUCCUAGUGCACCUAUAGAACAUGUGCAUGGCAGUCAACAUCCCAGCUCAGAUAAUACAGGAGAAGUUGGAAUGCACUGGAAACUUAUUCCAAUUACAGGUCUGAAAUCACCAGAAGAGCCACUGGUGUGUUUGCCACCAACGGAUGCCCUUCCUAAUGACCCCCGGGUAAUAAAUAGACAGAGAAGUUCUGAUGACCAGUUUCCGUACUCUCCAUUUUCAGACACACAAAAGGGGACAGCAGAAGAUGGACAUAAUACAGGACAAGUGGAGAAACCUGAAGAUGAGUAUGGGCUAGCGGACCAGCCUUUUUCAGCUAAGCAUUCCAUUAGUGCAGUAAUAGAAACGACCCUGUUAGAAGAAUAUAAUCUCUUUGCACGAAAGAUUCAAGAAAUUUUGCAGCAGAAGAACAUUGCUUAUGUUAGUGGGAUGCCCACACCGGUCUUCUCUGCCCGAGAGAGGAUGAUGAGACUUUCUGAAUACAUAUGUUUAAAGGCAUCAGAGGUGUCUGUCCAAGAAUAUAUAGAGACACUGAAUGAAAAGUUGCACAGUGUCAUUUUGGCUUCUUCCUGCUAUAAGCACCCUCAACCCAUUUAUUCUAGUCCUGAACCCUCCGAAGUUGGGAGCAACACUGCAGCAAACCCUGUGCCCGACACACUGUCUGUGUGCAGGGAUGCUGACACAGCGCUGUUACCAGAGCCACUGGGCAAUAACCUGCUGGAAGACCUGCACUCCAGUGAGCAGCCUUCAUCAAGCUUGCCCCUAGUGAAGGAGAAAAUGGAUCAUGUGAACACUAAACCAGAGGAUCAGACCUCUUCUAGUGGGGAUCUGAUGGAGCCACCAGAGAAGACACAGAAAUCCCCCGAGAACCUAAGCAUUUCAACUCAACCAGCUUUUUCUAAUAUUAUAAGCCAGAUAAAACCUGAAGUAUUUACCAGCUUGGUCAAAAUUAUGAAAGAUGUACGGAAAAAUACUGUCAAAUUUUAUAUUCAUGAAGAGGAAGAAAGCGUUCUUUGCAGAGAAAUCAAGGAUUAUCUUAUAAAGUUGGGUAAUACAGAGUGCCAUCCAGAGCAGUUCCUUAAGAGAAGAGCUGAUUUAGAUAAACUCUUGAUCAUCAUCCAAAAUGAAGACAUCGCCAACCUCAUCCAUAAGAUCCCAUGCCUAGUAACUUUGAAGAGGCUCUCCUGUGUCAGCUUUGCGGGAGUUGAUAGUUUGGAUGAUGUGAAAAAUUACACUUACAAUGAACUGUUUGUGUCUGGUGGUUUUGUUGUGUCGGAUGAAUCUGUCCUUAAUCCAGAGUCCAUCACUACAGAUAAACUAAAGCAAUUCUUAGAGUUUCUGGAGGCUCUCAAUACCCCAGAUGGGAAAUGGCAGUGGAAAGUCCACUGCAAAAUACAAAAAAAACUGAAAGAGCUGGCGAGGAUGAAUGCCAAUGCUCUGAGUCUGCUCACACUUCUGAAUACCUAUCAAAAGAAGCACUUGGUUGAGAUUCUGUCUUACCAUAACUGUGAUUCUCAAACUCGAAUUGCUCCAGACCUAGACUGUCUCAUCAGGCUUCAGGCUCAAAACAUACAACAGAGACAUGUUGUCUUCUUAACAGAAAAGAACCUCAAAACAUUCUCGAGUUAUGUUGAUAAUGGCAUAGUGGUUGCUGCUGUCGAUGACUUUAUGGAGAAUUUUAAAAGCCUCGUUGGGUAUCACAACUCGGUUACGGAGCAGAGCUGCCUUCCUGCCUCCGGAGCUCACCAAAGACAAUCAGGUUUCUGGAAGGCAGCAGCUGUGGAGUCUCCAGACGACCCUUUUCGGACCCUUUGGAGUCGACCCUUUUACUGUACUGCUGGUUUUACAGAGACCCUUGUGUCUCUAUUGCUUGUCUUCAGGUUGUCCAAAGUCCUGUGGGGGCUUUUCCUGGUUUGUAAUUUGAUUUCAGUGCUUUUGUGCAGAAUGUCCUGUUUGGUACUAGAAGAUAGUGUUUAAACUACAUUUUUCUAAACUCACAAAAUUAGUUGGGAUAAAGAUUAUUGGUUAAAAAAGGGCAGCUUUUAAAAAAUGAACAAACAAAAGCCAUAGACUUUUCCCUAAACUUGAAUCUUUCCCUCUGUUAAGACGUGACUGACUUACUUGUUCAAAUUAAGAACAAACCAGUACCAGACUAUAGUUGUUACCCUCCCCCAAAAGAUGGCAAAUAAAUAACCAUUUUAGAAAAAAGAACUCCCUUGUAUUCACUGUAUCAGCCUAAAAGGUGGCUGAAUAUUUAAGUACAGGCAGUAUUUUACAGUUAAAAAUACUAACAAAGACCACCCAAGCCAUUCAUACAUCUUAAUCUUUUUAUUUAUCAAAAUACACACACUUGAGUUCUACAAAACCCCAUGUAACAGUUUUCUUCUGUGUUUUGGUGGUUUAUAUUCACAUCUUGAAGACCAUUCUGAACAGACACACCACCAUUAGUUUAAUGUACCUUCAAUAUAAAAAUGUGACCCUGUAAUCUAUCAAAAUUCUCAUAAUUUAAAUUUCAUAAAAAAAGCUAGAGAUGGUUCAUAAUUAUUACAGUAGCAAAGUGCUGUGCAUUUACAUUUUAAGAACUCAGGACAUUCACAUGUACCUCUCAAAAUGGCGGAAUGAAGUUCUCUUGAGCUACAGUGGGAAUCAGAGUGUUCUCCAACUCCUUCUGCUUCUGCAGGAGGCCCUGGAAUACAUCAAAUACAAGGUGAGUGUUCUGUCCUCCUCACACAGCCUGAACUAAUGAUGUGUCACUGUUUCAUACCUGAAAACAGUUUACCUGUUGAGGCUCAAUACUUUUUAAGUACUCAACUUCAGAAAAAGCAGUACAAACUCUCUGUGCAGAGGGAACUUUGCAAAAGACUUGGAAGUGUGACUGGAGUGGAAGCCAGUCCAGUGAGUUUCCAGGGAUGACCAUGCAGAGGGAAAAAGGACUUCACUGUAUAUAACUGAAGCUCACUCCUUUGUGUACUGUCUCUGCAUUCACAUGUUCUACUGUAUUCUUGUAUGAAGCUGAACCCCAAACCUUGAUGGGUAUCAGCUUUUAGUCUCAACAUAAGUGAUACUUAAGAUCAAGGGCAGCAUUGCCAUUUGUACCAGAGCAGUGUCAGACAUUUCAGGAUACAUACAUAUAUUUACUGUCAAAAGGUUCAGGGGUCCUGCUUUGCUAAUGGCUCUUCUAAGUACUGAGGAAGGAAAAAAUCCAUAAUAAAAAAACCUCCUGGAAGUGUACCCUUGUCUUUUAAGUACCACAUGAUACAGGUAUGGCAAGUAUGUUCAUAAAUUUAAAAUGUCUUUUUACUGUCAUUAACAAGAUCAUAUAUAUUGAUACAUCUGGCAUCUUGGUCUCCCUCUAUUUUAGACCUGUCAGAAAUAAUUUGGUAGUAACGAACUUAAAAAAAAUACUAUUUUUCUCAGAGUUACAAGAGCUUUCUCAAAGAUAAGGGUUACAGGCUGCUGGCACAGCUCAGCACAGACCUGAUGCAAGGCAGUGGGUACUACAAGAAUUUAGACAUGUAUUCCUGUGGCAUGGAAGCAGAGCAGCCUGUUAGACUUAACUUGGGAUCCUUGAAAGGCAGCAGGUGCCUACUUUCAAUCCCUUGAUGAAUUGCUUCCUAAUUAAUCAACAGUAUGUGCUAUUAUUGUUAAUGGGUCAGUGCAGCUUUCGGUCCCUGUGUCAAUAAUUACUUCUAAUAAUUAGUUUCUUGCAUUUAGUAGCACGUUACAAAAACAACUCAUAAAAUGAACUGCCCUAAAUAAAGCAAGAGCUGAGAAACAAGUAACACUGAAAGCUGACAGUUCAAUGUUUAUCACUUGGUCUGCAGAGGUCAUAGAAGGACCUGGAGCAGCACAGUAAUGUGCAAUAUUUACGGAGGGAUGAGCAGUGAGCUCUGUCCUCUCACAGCCCAGUGCUGGCCUUCGUGGGCUACAGGCUGCUGAAGUGCCUUUAUUGCCUUAGGAACAUUAAGGUGCUCUGGGAUGUACUGACCUGGUGUGGGGGGUGUUCUCCUUUUUCUUAAACUUUGGCCCUUCUUUUUCACAAAUAGUUCACUUUGCUGGGCUUAUCCACCGAUUUUCGAUUUCAGUGAGGAAAAUUAAGGCUGUUGCUUUUUCCUAUUACUGCUGUCACCUGACAUAGGCAGAGACUUGCUGUCUUGUAAUGAAUGCAGCAAGACACCCUCCCUUUGGCAGGGGAAGGCCUCCUGUUUUCCCUGGUGUCUUCAGUUCCUCUGGGCUGUUACUGCAACAGCCCAACUGUAAUUAUCCAUCACUUGGGCUGGGUGUGGAGUGCAAGGGCUAAAGACUGGUCAAAUAUUCUGUGAAUUUUCCCAGAAAAAGAAUGCUAAAGAAUGGUCAAAUAUGUUGUGAAUAUAUAUAUAUAUAUAUAUAUAUAUACACAUAUGUAUAUAUUCUGAAACUAUCAAUCCACUAUAUAUAUGUAUAUAUAAAUACAAAACUCAAGUCUAAUCAUCUUCUGAAACAAAACUCUGCUCGUUGUCUAAAUUGUAUUUCAGACAAAAUACUGCCCUACUCAUUCUAUCUCAGUGAAAUAAAUGAUGCAAAACAGGUGUCAUCUGCAGGAGUACACAAUACUUAGAUAUACAAAUACACUGAAGUUCAACAGUUCAUGUCCUAAAUGCAUUCUGCAGCUGGCAGGGUAUUUAAAAAAGAACUCCACAUGUUUUAAAUUAACUCUCUUGCAGAACCAAGAUCCACUGAAAGACUAACCUUACCAUUACUUUUUAGCCACUGUUAAGACUUGAAUAUUUACUAUGCAUCAAAAAUGUAAACCUCUUUAAAUAUCCGCACCUUUUGUUCACCUCAGCAAGCAGAAGGAUCAAAUUGUGCUUUGAAUCUGGCUUCAUCUUAAUCAAAAUGCCACUGGCAAAUGAAGCCUGAAUACAAAAUACUUAACGACUGUAGGUAUUUAACAAAAAUGUUAAUGAGCAUUGGGGAAGACCAGAUCCAGUCCAACCCAUCUGAGAGCUGUUGGAAACAGGCAGCUUUUCACUGCUCUUGGGUCACAACUUUUCUUCCUCAGCUGGGGCAUGUUAUGACCCUUCCUUUGCACAAGGAAUUUACCUGCAGCUGAUACACCACCUGUGCGUGGCAGUGCUUCUGUCUUGCUAAAGCACAACAGGUAAGCCAGGUAAUCAAUAACUACUGUAAUUUUGGUGUACUUCAGUCUGUCAGAUUUUCUUUCCUUUAAUUAUUUAUGAAAUUUUCCUCCCUCAAGGAAGAGGAAAAUAAAUACUGCUGCUAGCAAGAAAGUACUUUUAGAAUGGAGCCAUUCAAAAAGCAAGGGAAGGGACUGACAGAUGUUUAUCUUCAGUGUUCUUCAAGAACCAAACCAGAUCUAAAGUAAAUGUGUUUUUUUGUCUUGCAGCCCUGUCAGACCAUUUAGAAGCACAAAAGAGAACAGCUCCUGUUCGUGUCCAGACCUGCUGUGGGCCACACCUUGUUGCCAACAGGAUUUAGAAGAGGAUCUCUAACGUGAUCUGAGCUAAAAAUCUGUCGUGGCAUUUGGUAAGAAUCUAGAAGUAAAUGUACAUCAAAUCAGUUAACAAUACCCUUUAUUAAUUUUAAUUUUGAAGCAGUAAGUUUUCACAGUUUGUGAAAAUCAGGUUUUGGUUGCUAUCAAGAUUAUAAUCACCGUUUUUAAGUUAAACAACGCUUAGAUUCCUAAAGCCCAAUCUAUAUACAAUAAUGCCAGAAAAGUGCAAUCAUGCUUCAUUAAAGGUAAACAGCCAAAAAAGAGAGAUAAAAUAUUUUUUUGGUUGCUUUUUUGAUUUUUUUUUUAAAACAUUUGUUGUGGUUGCUUUGUUGGGUUAAUAGAGAGUAUCCUUUGGUUGCACAGCCUUUGUGUGCAGGGCUGUGACCCACGUGGAUUACUACAAAAUUCUGUAAAAACAGACAUAAAAUUGGAUAAAACUGUAGCACUGUAACAUCUCCUCUACACAAAUCAUUUCAGUACCAUGGAACUGUCGAUACUGUGGGUCAUGUGUUGAAGGUCUGGUCACUGGUGCCUCUGGAUCGAGAUAAUACACUUCGUUAGUUCGGACGUACGGGAUAAACUGGGCCGAGGGAGGCCUUCCAGCCUCGGGCACUGGAGGGGGGGAGCUCCUCUGCUCAGCAUCUGCCUUGGUGCUUUUCUCUCUUCUGCUACUGUUGUUAUGCACCAGGAAAUUAGAAGCAUGGAUCUGUCUCUGUUGUACUUGGAGUAAUCUGUUCUUAACUGCCGGAACAGGCGGUGAUUCGGAUCUGUUUGAAACAACUGCAGUUGAGAAAAGCCCAAACAAUACUUAAAUGUAAUUAAAUUUUCUCAACUAGCAGAGGCAAGGAAUCCUCAGAGGACAGGACUUUUUGUUCAUUUACUAUGCUUUUAUAAUUGCAGUCUGUCUGGUCAUGUGUAUUUUUAAUAGUAGACAAUUAGAUACAUCUAAAAAGUCAGGAAAGAAAAGCAAAUGUAUUUCACUAUUAAUGUAUUAAUUUUAUUAAUGCGGAAUAUUGACGUACCUUUCUUCAUUCAAGUGAUUCUUAUAAAAUUGUUCUUCCUAGGAGAAAGCAAAGUCAAAAGUAAAACCAAAAAUCUCCAUGUUUUUACAUUAAAAGCUUUGAUUUUUCAAAAUGAGUUUGUUUAGAAAUUCCAAAAGGACUAUUUGACCUGGGUUCAGCAGAAAGGUAUUUAUCAAAGAUUUGCAUUAAAGAGACUUGUAGUGUCUAUGAACUAAAUUAAGCAGAUUAUAGGAAGAUUUUCUUCCAUUUUCUAUGUCUUUGGCAGCUCUAAGCACUAUCAAAAAUACUAUAUAAAUAUUUCUAUGUCCUUGGAAAGCUGCAUUUAUAAACUGAAAGGUUCAACGCAAGGCAAUGAUUAUUAAAGGAGAGGUCCAGGUUUUUUCUGUUUGAAGGUGUUAGAAACUGAGGUGUUUAUGCAUACAGAGAGUGAGCAAGGGGGAGAGAGACAGAAGGCAUGAUAGUAUUUGAUAGUAUUUUCUUUAAACAAUUUUUUUUCCAGCCACAAGCUCUACUGAUACAUGCUUAUUGCAAAUGGAAAAUGAUUCCACUAAGAAGGAUGCAUUUCUGUGACAAGAGAGUACAUCCUCAGUAAUCCAUAUUCUCUGCAGAAGUAAACACUGUUUUCUGGAGCAGGUACUCCUAUACCUCACCCACCACCACAACAUAAUGACUGCACACAAAAGAGCAGGUCAGUGCUGGCCUGCACUCUGCUUGCAAUCAAGCUCCCUAUUCACAUAAUGGAUCAGUGGUAGUGAAUAAGGAAUCAACACUUUGGAGGACUGAAAUAACAGUAAAAUCUAAUUCACAAAAUUCAAAUAUAUUCUGCUCAUGAUGAACAAAAUAGGGUUUUUAACACAAAGGACAGCAGCAGGCAGAUUUCAAUGCUUCAGUUACAGAACUGAACUCCCACCAGGUAAAACUGUGGAACAAGAGUCUCACUGUUGUUAAAGCCCAAGCAGUUACCCACCUUCCUGACUCUGUGCCCCUUAUUCCUCACAGCUGUUUCUUCCCGAGGUGAGGGAGACCUGUCCACACACCCCCCCUUCCUUGCCCAGAGGUGCCCGGGGGUGUUUCUUUCCAUCAGCUGAAGCAGCUCCAUUUGUCGCCUCACUUUGUUUUCUUCCCUUUGUUUUUGCAGUUGUUUAGGGUAUCUUUCUGAUGCUGGAAUGUAUCUUUUCCCAGGCUUGUUUAUGUUCCAGUCAGGUCUUUUGCCGUAUUUUUCUGAAGAUUUAAUUUGUCUUUCUUUUCUGGCAUAUUGGUCAUAUAGGUCACUGUAAUUGCCACCAGUCUCUUUUCCUGAUAUUUUAUUUUUAUCUAUAUACUGCAUUUCCUUCUGGUAUUUUUUGCUGUUAGAGGUUUCUUUAUAUUCUAUAGAAAUAUCAGGUGAUUCGCAGUGCACAGUUCUUUCCUCAGCUGGCUCAGUGUAUGCUGAAGUAUUAAAGUAAUCUAAAAAAAAAAAAUAAAUUGUAUUGUAACUCUAAGCUAUUCAAAUUACUUGAUUGACUUUUGUAUGCAUAUCAAUCUACGGUUAUGAUUUUAUUCAAAAAUGACUGUUACAGUUUUUUAUAAAGCUUUUUUAUUCUUUUUUUAUGUGGAAGACAGAUAGCACCAUAGAAGCAAACCUAGUAAGGAAGGGGAAAACCCCAAAAGAUUGGAGAACAAAAUCAAGUCACUGUAAAAGAAAAUGUAUGUAAAAUGAAACAACAUUCUUUUAAAAUGCAGAAUUCUACUUCUGUCAUGGUACCCAAAAGUAAAGAGCAAAACACAGCUUCUGUAUAGUUUUCCAGCAUGCCCAUGGUUUGGUCAUACUCACAGCACUACUGGGAAUAAUUAACUUUCCUAAUCCUUGUUGUCCAAUGGAAAUGAUUUGUUCUAUUUUUAAAUUAUUAACAAUCCAGCUUUUUUCUUUACUAAGAGGCAUUCACAAAAACAUUAUUUAAUUUGUAAACUGUCCAAAUUCACAGUAAAAUUUCUACCAGCACUGUCAAAACCAAAAAUAUUAUGUUGGUGCUUUGGCAAGCAGGAAUAAAAUAAAGCUUGCACUUCCCAAGUGACAAGCUAAUACAGUUCUACAUACAAGGCAUACAUAAAAUGACUGGAAGUUUCCACUGAAUUUGCUCAUUCACACCUCAUCUAGAACAUUUAAAAAAUGCAGACUAAGUUUGAGCUGGGUUUUUUAACAAUGUGAUACAAAACCAAGAAGAUGAAGACUGGAAUAUGUUCUGUCUAGAUGGACCUACAAUUCUCUCUGGGUAUUUAGCAAGAAUGUAAACAUUUUCUAAACAUUUGAAUGUAAGCUCUCAUUUUCUAAUGAGUUUUCUAGUUCCAGAAUUAUUGACAAUGAAUCCGCCAAUAUAUUCAAGGACACAUUAGGAAAACCUCAUCCCUGCUUGAUACCAAACCAUAUUACAUAAACCUGGGAACAUUCACACUGAAGAAUACUACAAAUACAUGUUUAAAUGCCUUAAUAAAUUUGGGCCUACGUGGCUUGUGACUCUAAGUCAACCCUGUAUUCCAGACUGCGUGAUUUGAAUCUGUAACCGGUAAGUACCAACUAUACAAAUAUAUAAUUUCUUUCGAAGAAUAAAGUGAUACACUCUAAUAUACCAACAUGCCUAUGUCUGUGCAAGUAUUUCCUUCUAGUUUUAUUCCAUUCUGGCUCACAGUGAUGUCACAAAUCUGCUGCCCCUGCCUUUGCUGAGGUACCUCAGAGCCAUCGGUCGUACCUGUCUGUACAGCGGUGUCCUUCCGAGGAGAGACCUGCUGCUCACUGUGGCUCUGGACAUCAUCACAAAAAUUGUUACUUUGAUGUGAAAUGCCAGAAUGACAAUUUUCACACUGUGUAUCACCUAAAAAGUUGUAAGUAAAAUUGUUCCAUUUAGUGACAUAUGUUCAAUUUAAACCAUGCUGUUGAGUUACCCGACGAUGGUGGUGUUUCUUUAUGUAAUACAGCACCUGACACUUACUCAAAUACAAUAUUCACCACAGUAGUCUACAUUUGUAUUUGUCUGGAAGGUAAAUAAAUUGUACUGAAACUUGAUUUGUGAAGGAGCCAUUUCUGACCCAAAUGCAGACAGAGAAACAAACCCAAAAAAACCCCAACCCAGAAACAACUUGCUUUCAAACCCCAAAGAACAGGCAAACUGAGUAGGAGAAGGCUUGUACUUGCCACCACCAGGAUUGUUCUGAACUUUGGAAAUGUCAUGUGCCUUCUGAGCCACGUCUGGAAUGUGCUGUUCUUGUUUUAAUCUCUGGGCUGAUUCCUGAGCUUUCUCCAUUGUCUGAUAGAGCUCUUUGGUUUUAAGAAUUGCAAGUUCCUUAAAAAAAAAAAAAGGCAAAUAUGUGAUCGUUUAUUUUGAGAAUAAAAUUAAUAGGAUUAUUUAAUCCCCAUGUAAUCCUUGAGGUUUACAUAUAUUGUUAUUUUGGGAAAAUAUUUUUUUUUUCCCCAAAACUAAAAGUAGUUGAGUAAAUGCAAUAUGUAACAUAUAAUUUCUACGAUUAUUAAGGAUAAAUUCAGAACCUCUGCUGUACUAUUGAAGGUUGUUCAAUCCUAGCAUAGAAAAGUGAGCAUUUAGAUCCUAAAAGUUAUUUGGAUAAUUAUUUCCUUUCUAAUAAAUUAAUCUUUUUCUAGAAGCCAUCUGAUGUCAGCCGUUUGUGGCUUUCUGUAUCAUGUGGUUUAAUGAAAUGAAAGAAGCCUAAAUAAAAGUAAUAAACUCACCUUCCUCCUACUUCCACAGGAGACAGUAAAAACUCCCUAACAAAUAUGAGGGGGUUACAGUUUCCAGACUCAGUGGGUUCAACUGCAGGAGACAAGGCCAGGGAAAAAUCUCAUUUCCAAACUGUUAUUCCCAUCUUAUCCCCACUUCCUACUGCAUUUGCAGGUGGAAAGAAGAACAACUGGUGGUGUAACAUGUUUUGAAGGAGCUGAGCAGUUACAGGCAAGGAUGACUUUCCCUGUGUUUUACCAGUCCCUGGAAUCAGGGAUCCACAUGUCUGCAGGUUUUGGAGCUGUUCCAAACAGGAAGCUAACUGUAAUAGCUGCUACUGUGGCAAAAGGAAGAAUGCUUUUCCAAAAGACGAAGCUUUUAACCUUCUACAGAGGUAAGAACAUAUACAAAUGCAAAAUUUGUACUUGCCAAAGGUCAGAAGGUACUUUUGGUUUAACUUUUAUAUGAGAGCAGUAUGUAAAGUUCAGCAAUAGCUACAGAGGGGAAAGCUGUAGAACAUGAAUGACUUUUAAAAUUACUUUUCCUGACUAUAUUCUAAAAAGUCUUUAAUUCAGACUGAAAGCACAUUCAGUCAGAUGAACUUCAUGGUAUUGAAGUACCUUAAAAGCAUCGAGUUACCAAUAACAAUAAUUGCAUCACAUACUCUAUGAUAUUUUUUAAUUUAAAAUUUGCAUUUUACAGUGGAUGUUUCUGCAUUAUUUAGAACUACAUUUCCCUUUUUGCUAGUUCUUAUAAUUUCUCUUCCUGAAAAGGCCCUUGUUCAGAAAAAGUAAGUUGCCUUAUGCUUGUAUGGUGUCAUAAGUUUAUCAGUUGAGGAAACAGAUUUUGAUUUCAAAUGUCUAAAUUUCAGAGAGUUUUCAUUUUCAAAAUGAUGAAGUGACACAAUUUUGAAGGUGAGGAACAAGAACCAUUUUCCUCAAAGCUCAGUCAUACUAUGGACUAUCUGCACUAAAGAUAAUGCAAAACCCCACCUCCUUUUGUUUUUGUUUCAGCAUUUCUUCUUCAAACUGUUUCUGCAGUUGUUCUUUUUCUCGUGCCAGGCGCAGUUCUUCCUGUUGUUCCUCCCAUUUUCUCUUCUCUUCCUCCAGUUGUUUCUUCUUCCGUUUUUCUUCCACCUGGGCCAUUAUUGCUUUCUAGCAGCACCAGAAAAAAAAGGAAAAAUACCAUGUUGAGGCAUUAUAAGCUAUUUAUUCAUAUACUUUCAUAUAUGUGAUAAUAAUUGGAUUUGGACAAAUGACAAAAAUAAAAAUCAAGACGAUUUAUUUCAAACACUUUUGGCUUUGUUUUUGGAAAACCACCAGCCCCACUGAGCAUUUUGCAAUACUGAGAUACAAAAAGGAGCUUUUAAUGUUUUAGAGAACACUUUUAUUUUUCUUGUAGAGUAAUGAAGGUCUGAUUUUUACCUUAUGUAUGUACUGUCAGCCAGGAGUUUGAUCUAGCAGAGUAACAGUUUGACCAGAACAGUCUUCUUAAAUUUUUAACUGAGACUUCUUUACAUGGUGCUAGAGACACCACCAUGGAGAUAUACAUUCAGUUAGAGAGCCACAGAGGUUAUGUAAAUGUCAGUAAAGUGCAUAAAAAGCUAAAGCUUCAUGGAGUGGGAAUCUGUAAAUAUUAGUCUUCCCCACAACAGUGGAGACCAGGAAAAUGCACACAAACCUACUGGAGCUCUAAAGACUGAACUGUACAUUUUUGGAGGCAAGAAUUCAGUUAUAGAAAGGCAAUCAUCUCUUACAAAUAUUGAAAGGAGAAUGUAGAGUCUGACUGAAUGAAAUACUGCAAACAACUGUACAUGCAAUCUAAAGCAUAAAAGUCAAGUGCCUGCCUGGAUUCUGGUAUUAAAUCUCAUGCUUUAUUCACGAGACAUUACCUUUUAUCCUUCCUUCUUAUUAAAAUAGUGUUAGACUUUAAAACAAAAGUCUACCUGAUGUUCUAACUGUUUCUGCCGCCUCCUGUCUCUCUCUUCAAUCUGUGCAGGGUCCAGGAGAGCCGUCAUUGAACGGAGGAAACUAAGAACAAAGGAGCAUGUAAAUGUUUUUAAUCAUUGGAAAAUAACCCUAAAGCCUUUCUUUGUUAGAAUCAGUUAGAUUUCAUUUUCAUAUUGAGGUUAUCCCAUUGUAUUAAUUUAUAAUUAUGGAAUUAAUUUUACUAAGGAACAAAGUAAGGUUGUUUGCAGUAAAUGUUAUUAAUGAACAACGGAAGCACUUGAGUCUUUCACAAGUGAAACAACAGGUAUUUCUGAAGAAAGCAAAAGCCAAAUGAGUAAGAUCCAAAGAUCAGAUUUAAAGAAUUUUGGUUUUGUUUUUUAAAUUUCUGAGGUGGUAUCAGAAAUGUACUGGCUGGGAAGAUGAUUAUCCUUACACAGCUCACUCACCUGACUUUCUGACUCUGUUCCAAAGCACCAUUUUUAGCAGCUUUUUCUGCAUUUCCCACCUUUAAGGGCAUGAGAUUAUUGCCUAAAGCUGCAGGUGAAAAAGGGUGAAUAAAAGCAGUCAGCUCCUUAGGGUCAGGUGACAGGCAAAGACUUUCAGGCUGCUUUUUGUGCAUUCCAUUUAGGGGGUGUUGUGCAUUAGCAUUAAGGUGGUUCUUAAAAGAAUCAAAAUGCAUUGCCCAUCUGUCAUGCUCUUCUGCCUAAAUAAAUAUCAAGCAACAAAAAAAAGGAAAAGCACUCAAUCACACUGUUUCUGUAAAGUGUGCUUCACAAAACAGACAAUACACAUUUUGUACAACAGGAACAUUAGAAAAGCUCUGUUAGGGAGCUACAAUACAGACAGCAGUUAAUUCCUUAAAUGGGAAAACAAGUCUGUCUGUUGCUUAAAAUGCAAGUCUGAUCAGGAAUUAUCCUGCUGAUCCAUAUUUGGUCAGCAAAAACAUCACUACUACAUUUUCAGAAAAAAACAAACAUCAAGAUUUAUAGAGUGAAAAAGUGUUGAAAAAUAAAAAAGUAAAAUAACAUAAGGUCAGGCUUUUUGGUAGUGUUUUUUCAAUUUACAGUACUAUUCUGUCCCAUGAUUUUUCUAACAGGACUGGGCACUGCUUGUUAGAGAAGUCAGUACUGGCCCUGCCUUGCUCUCCUCCUGUUGUGUCAUUAUUCCUUCUCUACUAACAAGAGCGAGUGGCUUCUUUUAAACUGUCCUACAUUUACACCCUCCAUUUUAAUUCUGGACAGUAGCAGAAUCAAUGUGCUUUGGGCAGAGAUAUUAAUCUCCAGCUUCCAAUUUUCAGCUAAACAUGCCUAUUAUAAAAUAAGCCUUCCUUCAAAAACCUCUUCCACCCCCAGCAGCCACUAGUGCCAUCCCAGCAAAGUACCUGAAACUUCUGAAGAGGUGACACACUGGGUGUAAAUCUCUCUUCUGUACUACCCAGGCUUAUCUUUUUGGCUCAGUGUUGGCAAUUGGGACAUUCCAAUAUAUCAGUAAUAAAAGAUUUUUACCCAAGGGGCUGUUGUUUUGCUACUGAGAAGGUUUUCACUUCUGACUGUAAGAACUGUUUCCCUGGAGGGACUGGAGAAUGACUACCUAAAACUUGCAUUCUGCAACAAAAUACCUAAAAUUAUGUAAUCUGAUAUAGUUUCUGGGAGUCCUUUCUUGAAACAAAAAUUCCCUUGUGUCAGCUAAGUUUAACACCUAUUUUAAAAGAAGCAUGAAAAUCAUAGUCCAAAUAAUAAAGAUCCAAGUUACUCUUCCUCCUGUCCCUCUGUGAUAUAGAAGCAGAUCAGACAGUUGAAAAAUCGACUUUAUUCUUUUGAGGGUCUGUGCUGCAAUAUGCAAAAGAGUUCAGAGUAUAAGACAGCACCUGAAAAAACAGGUGUUGAAGCAAAGGAGGUUAAGUGCCCAUUAACCUCCUUUCAGACAGAGGCUGGGAGUGAAAGUACUGGGGAGUUACUGGUAACUGCACCCUCCUCCCACAGCACAGCUAUCCAUUAAAAACAAAGCACUAAUGAAGGAACCUUCACAGCUGUGUUCCCUUCACAGCUGCAAAACUCAGUUUACAAAGGAAACCUGAUCCCUUCAACAACUAAGAGGACGACAAGACUCGUGUUGCCUGUAGAUCCAGUAUUGGAGACCUACAUUCAACAGCCUGGAAAAACCAAAGUGUAAACAAGGCUUUGAUUUGUCUUUUGGGAAACAAACACAAACAUAUGAAAGAAGUAUUUAAUGACAACUUCUUCCUGAAAAACAAGCUUGAGAAAUCAGUAAACUGGUAUAUUCAUCUGGGUUUUGUAGGUCAGGGGAAAAUACUUUGCCUGUAACAUCUGCCCUGAUUAUUUUACUUUUUUUACUUGUUUCAGUAUACACACUUUAAAAGCAUGUUGGAAAAAAAAAUCAGAUAUAUUCCAGUAACUAUUUCCAGUUUUAUACAGAUCUAAUAAAAUUAUUGUGCCAGUC